GUGCUGUGUGAAAGGAGAGAAGGUUAGCAUCCCCCUUGGUAAGGAUAGAAAAGGCUCCCAUGGCCUAUAAAAUGCACACCUGUAAGAGCCUUCUGU